UACGGGGGGGGCAAGCGUUGUUCGGAAUUACUGGGCGUAAAGGGCUCGUAGGCGGUUGGUCACGUCGGGAGUGAAAACUCAGGGCUCAACCCUGAGCGUGCUUCCGAUACGGGCCGACUAGAGGUAUGCAGGGGAGAACGGAAUUCCUGGUGUAGCGGUGGAAUGCGCAGAUAUCAGGAGGAACACCGGUGGCGAAGGCGGUUCUCUGGGCAUUACCUGACGCUGAGGAGCGAAAGCAUGGGGAGCGAACAGG
rnacentral:rRNA from 1 species